AGACACAACAACGAUUCCAUUCAACUAGAAGUUAAGAUUGCCACCUGGACACUUUGGGCUUCUCCUACCUUGAAGUCAACAGGCUAAGAAGAGAGUUACUUGGCUGGGGCGAUUGACCCAGAUUAUCAAGAUGAAAUCAGUCUACUACUCCACAACUGAGGAAGCCAAGCCACACUGCUAACUGAUGAGAGACCAACUUGAAAGAGGGAGGACCUGCCAAUUGCCAGUAGCACAACUCCAGAUAUAUGGGAGUCAGGCUUUAGGGCAAAAACCGGGGAUCACAGAAUGCUUGCUCAAUCAACUUUGCUCAUCCAAAAUCACAAAAAUCGCCUCAAAAAAUGUUGAUGAUAAUUUAAUUUUCUUCACUCUCCGUGAAGAUGUUAGAUAAUGCUCACUCUGGGUGAGAAUAAAAUCCAGACUCAUCAA
rnacentral:lncRNA from 1 species